rnacentral:rRNA from 1 species
UACGAAGGGGGCUAGCGUUGCUCGGAAUGACUGGGCGUAAAGGGCGCGUAGGCGGCGGUCCCAGUCAGAUGUGAAAUUCCUGGGCUUAACCUGGGGGCUGCAUUUGAUACGUGGUUGCUUGAGUGGGGAAGAGGGUCGUGGAAUUCCCAGUGUAGAGGUGAAAUUCGUAGAUAUUGGGAAGAACACCGGUGGCGAAGGCGGCGACCUGGUCCUUGACUGACGCUGAGGCGCGAAAGCGUGGGGAGCAAACAGG